rnacentral:rRNA from 1 species
CGAACGGGUGAGUAACACGUGAGUAACCUGCCCUUGACUUUGGGAUAACUUCAGGAAACUGGGGCUAAUACCGGAUAGGAGCUCCUGCUGCAUGGUGGGGGUUGGAAAGUUUCGGCGGUUGGGGAUGGACUCGCGGCUUAUCAGCUUGUUGGUGGGGUAGUGGCUUACCAAGGCUUUGACGGGUAGCCGGCCUGAGAGGGUGACCGGCCACAUUGGGACUGAGAUACGGCCCAGACUCCUACGGGAGGCAGCAGUGGGGAAUAUUGCACAAUGGGCGGAAGCCUGAUGCAGCAACGCCGCGUGCGGGAUGACGGCCUUCGGGUUGUAAACCGCU